CGGAGCCCGGGGCUGCGUGCUCUACGGAGGUGGGAGGGGUGGGGGGGGGGCACCUGAACGCUGUGCGCUCUGCAGUUGGGGAGGGUAGAGGUGGGGGCUGAAGGCCUGUGGAGCCUGUACGCCCCCUUUUGUGUCCUGCAAAGGCGGCAGACCUUGUCUGUCUUUAUGUGCCCUGCAUAGGGGAAAGGUCUCUAGGAGCCCCGCGUGGGGAUGUCUAGGAAGCCAGGACAAGGUGUUCGUUGGAGGAUCUCCAGGGACGCACCUCCUUGACCCCCGGCGGAUUCUUUUACCGUCUGAGCCACCAGGGAACUCCUGAGAUGCGCCGCCAAAUAGUAAAGAGGCCGUCACCGCUCACAGUUUACUGCCGGUGUGCUCUCCGGCAGCACUGUACUCCCGUUUAAGGCACUGAAACCUCAAAACAGCAGAGUGCAGGGUAGCAGGAACAGGAAGCAAACAUUUAAAGAGGGAGUCAUCAGGUGUGAUCCUGAGACGUGACCUCGGAGGGCUCCUGGGUCUUGUGUAAGCUGGUAAAAGGUAUGUGCCACUGGUUCAGAGUGUUUACCCACAUCCUGCCAGGACAACACCCACACCCCAGAGAUGCCGUCUGCCACCGGGCACUGAAACCCAGCCUCCAGCAGGCCGUUCCUCUGUUAGUGAGAGCCGCUGCUUUCUGCUGCUGGGAAGCAACGCCUUUCAUUUGCAAAUCAGAACCCGGAUAGCAUCUCUCACCAUUGCUGAAGACCCCCAGGAAACCUCCCCCCACCUUUCUGAGAGGAGGUUUCACCCCCAUGAGAUGAUUUUUUCUCCUCGAGAUGCAGAUUGGAUUAACAGAUGGUGAUUUUCAUCGUAAUCUCUUCAGCAAAAUAGACUGAAGUCUUCUGUUUGGAAGACGUAGGCUGCCUUUGAUGGAGGGGCUGGGGGGUGGGGAAGGAAGGAAGGAAAUCUUAUUUGGUUUGUAAAACUCCCCUGCUAAAUGUACUUAUCAGAUGGAAAUAAAUCAAGUCUCUGUUUAUAAGGGCCUGGAUAAAUAAGCUCUGGCACCUCCAGAUAAUGCGACAAGAUGUA